GGAGAGUACAGCUCAGUGGUAGAGUACAUGCUUAGCAUGCACAAAGUCCUGGGUUUGAUCCCCAGUCCCUCCA
rfam:Camelus ferus unplaced genomic scaffold scaffold39750, whole genome shotgun sequence.